UGCGAGGUAUUUUCGUAUUUGUAUAAAAUACAAUUUUAUUCACUUGUUUCAGAAGAUGGUUUAAUAACUUUUAAAAAUCUGAUGGACACCACCUGCAAGCGUUUUUUUUAAAUUAGAACAACUCCUCUCCCCAAACCAAUCUGUCUUUUAAGACGAGUUUUGGUUGCUACAUGCAUUCAGCGGUAUGUUGCAACAUCUACGCGUAGAUAGGUAUCUUUUUUCGUUGUUAAAUUGUGCAUCUACAAACGUCAGAUUUACACCUGUCAAUUUAUCAAAUCGAUUGAACCUGUUACCUUGUGUUGUUUGUGUUCGGUUUGCACCUGUUUGGUGGCGUUCAAACAAAGCGUUCUAUCAAUAAACAAGUUGUUGAACUUUCCGUGAAAUGUAGUGAUGCAAACAAGAGUUAAGUGUAUAAUAAACGAAUAAUUAAAGUGACUGAGCAGUCACAUGUUUUAUCGCUGCUGUACCGGCACGUUCAGCAAUCGAUCGUUUGGGUUAGCGCUACCAUAGCAACCAAUGUCCAUGGUUUGUGAUAAACAGAAAAUUUUCAAUGCGAUACGCAAACAUUUAUAGAUCUGUGUGUAAUUGCUUAAACACUUGAUUUAAGAAAGUUUCCAAAAUGGUUUUUACCGUAACCUAAUAGAACAAACAGCAGCGCGUAGAAAUUUUGUUGUGAAAGAUCGUGAAGAGUGCGAACAGAAUGAGCAACGAAAAGGUUCUUUACCGUCAUGAAGAACCACACGGCCAAGGUGAUGUAUAUUUCCUAUGGCAGACAGGUGCUUCUGCACAACUGUUGGCUAGCACCGGGAGCGAUGGUACGGUGGCUAUUUUCAACCGCCAAGGGCAACUGCAGGAACGAAUUGUACUGCAGGGGCUUUGCGCUGGGUUUGCUUGGGAUCGCGACGGAGACGUUCUGGCAAUGAUAACGGCCUCUUCACACCAGCUUAUCAUUUGGGAUUCAAACUCGCAGAAAAAGCAAACCGUCGACAUAGGACUUCGUGACCUGCCGAGUUGUAUAAUUUGGUCGAAGAAAAUAGCCAUUCUUGCGGUAGGAACGUCGCGCGGAAAUCUGUCUAUCUACAAUCACAUCUCCACAAAACGAAUACCAAUUCUUGGCAAGCACACGAAACGCAUAACCUGCGGUGCUUGGUCCACGGAGAAUAUCCUUGCGCUUGGCAGUGAAGACAAAUAUCUCACUCUCAGCAAUGAGGAGGGCGACACGUUGCGUUCGAUCCAGCUUCGCGAUUGUCCGAGUGAUAUGUAUUUUGCCGAAAUGAAGACAGACGAACGUGUGCCGGGAGAAAAUACGAUCAGUAUGAUUCUGGGCAAACGUACGCUCUUCCUCUACCAUCUACCCGAACCGGACUCUCCCACGGAGCUAGGAUUUCAGCAACGAUACGGAUCACUGCUGCAACACAAAUGGUUUGCCGAUGGAUAUAUUCUGCUGGGUUUCAGCCUGGGUCAUGUCGUAGCUAUUUCAACGCACCCGCGCGAAGUCGGACAGGAGCUAUGGCAGGUGAAAAAUCAUCGCGAUUCGCUUAACAGUAUUGCCGUUUGUAAGGAGUUGGAGCUUAUUGCGUCCUGUGGAGAUAAUAAUGUAAAAGUUCAUUCCAUGACUAACCUGCAAGAAACCGUUAAGAUUCUCAGUUUACCCGACCAGGCAGCCUUAAAGCACGUUGAAUGGAGCACAGACGGACAGUUGCUCGGUGUAACGACAUCUCAGGGUGCAAUUUGUGUGUUUGUCACGAAGCUUCAUUCGCUGUACGCAGUAGCACCGCCAAGAAUAGCACUGUUAUCGAGUUUGGCAGAGAUAGCGAUUUACCAUUAUGCACCGGAUCGUCAAAAAUCGACACCCGUACUUAUAACGCUUGAAAUUGAGCCAUCGUUUUUGACGAUCGGCCCGUACCACAUGGCAUGUGGUAUGAACAAUCACGUUUGGUUCUACGAUCUUGGUCGUUCGUUGAGCGAUACUCCGCUGCUGCUCGGUGAUCGGGAGUACAUGUCAGAAAUCAAACAGGUGGCCCUUAGCUCCGACUAUUGUGCCGUGCUGUGCGGUGGACAAAUAAUGCUACAUACGAUUGAAUCUUCAAACGAAGCGACACAGAAUCGUGAACCGAAAAUAUUUCCGGAUGAGAUAAGAGGCUUGGCAGAGUCGGUUAUAACGUGCCUUGGGUUGACAAAUGAUUUUCUAUGCUUUGCAACAGAUCUUGGUAACAUAGUUUAUUUUUCGCUCGAAAACUGGUCCACAGUGUUGCAGUUUCGUCAUCAAGUCGGGAUACGAGCUAUAUAUCCGGAUGUUGACGGUACAAGAUUGAUAUUUAUCGAUGACCACAGCCAGGGCUAUCUUUUCAUCGCAGCUUGUGACGAAGCAUUACGAAUAUCAGAUUUCCCCAAAUAUUGUACCGGCGUUCUGUGGGACUUUUCGCAGCCACACAUUUUCGUAGCAAAUGAUCGAAACACGUGUAUCACAUACGCAUUCGUACGUGUAUCUGUGAAAGGUAAAAUGGUCGAAAAAGUCGGUACGACAAGUUUGAUAAGUGAACAGACGCCUCUGAUGCUGUACGAUGGAGAUCUCUGCCUACAUGGCAGCGGAGGAAAGCUAACAUCGAUCAUACUGGACACACACGCCAAUAAACCUGGUCGCGAUGUAAAGGAACAGCUUCGUACCACCAAACUGAUGCGCAAGUACGGAGAUGCCUGGGAACUUUGCAAAUUGAUGAAUGAUGUCGACGAAUGGAGGGAGCUAGGAAUGGCAGCUAUUGCCGAUUUGAAUGUGGCUUUCGCAAUUAAAGUGUUUCGUAAUAUUGGUGACGUUGCAAUGGUUUAUGCGCUAGAAGAAGUAAGUCAAAUUGAGGAUUUAAAUACGCUGGCCGGAUUUUGUGCUGUUUUGGGAAAUGAAAUAGAAGAAGCUAAAGCACUAUUCGCUAAGAGCGGUAACCCAUCCGAAGCGCUAGAGCUGUGCCGAGAUCUACUGCAAUGGGAGCAAGCGAUGGCGCUGGCAACUACACUAGCACCGGAACAAUUACCUUUCCUAGCGCGCGAGUAUGGAGCACAGUUAGAAUUCACUGGAAACCACGCUGAAGCAUUGAUGAACUUUGAAAGAGGUCUUAAGCACACAGAGUCAGAAUCCAAACAACAGCAACAGGAGCAACAUGUGAAACUGUGCAAAGCAGGCAUCGCCCGAACUAGCAUUAAGUGUGGUGAUGUACGACGGGGGCUACAGCUGGCACUGGAGCUCAACGACAAGCAACUGUACAUUGAAUGUGGCGAAGCAAUGCUGACUGCGGGACACUUGUCUGAAGCAGCUUCAAUGCUCGAAAAGGGGGAAAGUUGGGACAAGGCAGCAGAAAUAUUCAUUAAUCUGAAGCAGUGGAAGAAAGCAGAUACGAUCUUGCCAAACGUCGUAAGCCUUAAACUGCACGCCGCCUAUGGUAGGGCCAAAGAAGCCGAGGGACAUUACGCCGAUGCAAUCAACAGUUACCAGCUUGCGGGAGAUCUAGACGGUGUCGUCCGAAUAUAUCUACAGUACCUUGAUGAUCCUCAUUCGGCUUCGGAGAUUCUACUGGAAACACGCUCCAUGGAGGGAUCGAAGCUGUUAUCGAAAUAUUUUGAGCAGCAUGGUGAUUACGAGUCUGCGAUACAGUUUCUGAUACUGUGCGGAUGCAUAACAGAAGCAUUCACGAUAGCUCAAAAGCAGAACAAAAUAGUGUACUAUGCUGAGGUGCUCGAGCAGAGCGCCUCUGCGAAAUCGGGUGAUUUUCUUGAAUUGGGAGGAUAUUUCGACAGUGAGAAGUACACCCUCCUAGCCGGCAAGUACUAUUUUCUGGGCAAAGAAUAUGCUAAAGCUCUUAAACUGUUGCUAAAGGCGGCUUCCGUAGGAAAUGAAGAAAACACGGCACUGUCUCUAGCUAUUGAUUGCGUUGCAUCGGCUGGAGAUGAGAAAUUGUCCAACGUACUGAUAGAGUAUCUUUUGGGUGAGUCUGACGGCAUACCGAAGGAUCCGAAGCUGCUAUUCCGGCUGUAUAUGGCUAAGCGUCAAUUCAAAGAGGCAGCAAAAGCUGCCAUGAUCAUUGCCAACCAAGAACAGAUUGCCGGUAACUAUCGCAGCGCUCACGAUUUACUGUUCUCCAUGUACCAAGAACUAAAACGCAACCAUCUAGCUAUUGCGACCGAUAUGAAAGUAACACUCGCUUUGCUGCAUCGCUACACGCUGGUUCGAAUUCAUGUGAAACGAGGAAAUCAUUUGCUGGCAGCGAAGUUGUUGCUUCAAGUAGCGAAAAACAUUUCCCAAUUUCCGUCACAUGUUGUUCCUAUUCUAACCUCCACUGUCAUCGAAUGCCACCGAACGGGUCUUCGAAAAUCUGCCUUCGAAUACGCGGUAAUGCUGAUGCGGUCCGAGCACCGGAGCCAAAUCGAUGCGAAAUACAUAAAGAAAAUCGAAUCUAUCGUUAGAAAAGCUCCACGUGGACAGUUAGAAGAUGAAGGUGAACAAGAAUCGAGUCCGUGCCCAGUUUGUGAAACACCACUCCCCAACAUGCAUAUAGUUUGCGGACAGUGUAAAACGACAUUACCAAUAUGUAUUGCUACGGGACAACAUAUUGUUCGCGACGACGUAGCUGCAUGUCCCGAGUGUGAUUUCCCUGCGAUGAAAGUGGAAUUUAUCAAAAUUUUGGAAACAACCAACAACCAAUGUGCAAUGUGUGGCGAAGAAAUAGAUGCUGGACGAUUGGUCGAUAUCGAUGACAUACAACCAUACAUCAAUGCUGGCACUUAAGGAUUUGCAAUUUGUGGUGUAAGAAGAAAAGCAAGGUUUUACGGUGAGCUUUUGUGUACCUUCUAUUGUUUUCGUCAGUUUACGUUGGGAAACCUAAAAACUCGCUGUGUUUUUGCUGCGUGUAGCCGCGAGCUAUUGUGGAUAAGGUACCUUUCUUCGACUAGCACAACACGAAUGGAAAUCAUAAAAAUAACGCAAGUGAAACCAGCCGGAC